GUGUUUUGGUAAUUAUUUAUAAAUCAUAUCUAUUCGCGACCUAGAAGGAACGGUGCUGCUAUCUAUGAAAGUUUUAUCUGUGUGUGAAGUGAAUGUAAACAAAGCAGGGUCAUGGAUCUGAAAAGUUGCUCGAAUGGGCUUGCAAAAACAUUUCAUGACAGUGUUUGUAAUUCUGAUGAGAACAGUGUUAUGUUCCAGAUUUAGUAUAUCGAUUCAAUCCCCCCCAAACAAGUAAAAUAAAUGAUACGUAAUAUGGAUUCAAUGAUUCAGAAUCGAGUCAACGAAAAUUACUUGGGUUCAAUUUACAUUUCUCUGGUAAUAAAUUGUGUUCCCCCCAGUUUGAACCUCCCAACUAUGCGAGUAAUUCUGAGGACUUCUUCUGUACCCGCUGCUUCCUGCCCCUACUAAGGAGUUGAGCUGUAAUUUUAUCGAUUGUCGUUCAAUGCGUGUCGUCAAUUUGUAAACUUAUAUAUUUAUGUAUUUAUUAAAUUUAUU